GGACGCUGUAAACAGGAAGAGCCCAUCAAUCACCCUCGGUCACUGAGCUAGCAAGCUAAUGUUAGCUAGUGAGUCACAUAAAUGAACGUUCAGCCUGUUAAUUACAGUCCGAUUGGACUUGUCUUACUUAAUCAGCAUGGCUUAACAUUGUUUCUUUCGUUUUUGACAUCGACAUUCUUGCUGGAUAGAUACUUUGAUAGCUAACAUGCUGGCGCUGCUAGCUAGCUAAUGUUAACGACGCUAACGGCGCUAGCUAACAUCCUAUGUGGAUGCAUCCAUCUAGUUCCCAAGAGCAGCAGACCACUAACCUAUGCGGAUGCCUCCGUCUAGUUCCCAAGAGCAGCAGACCGGCCCUCCAUUCCCAAACCUGAAGCCCCCUGUCCCCAGCAUGAAAGACCAGGAAAAAGUGUUGGCUUAAGGUACAACUUCCUAUUGAGGAAAUAUCUGCCAACCAGGCUCGGUGGGUGACAGGUAGCCGUUUUUCCACCAAGCUGUUCCAGGCCUGGAGUGGCACGCUGGAGCUUCCAGAGGCUAGUAGACCUAAAGCAGUGUGAUGUGGUCCAGAUCUGACACCCCUAUUAGUUCAACCACAGCCCUCACAGCUGCAUUCGCCUGCCCCUGCUACACCGGCCGCGACAGGUGAUACAGAUCUGCCACCCCCAGCAGUUCAGCUGCAGUCACAGCAGUCCUCUGCUAUGGCAUUUAAUUUACCGGCUGCACCAGUUCCUACUACACUGGCCGUGAAAGGAGACACUUUUGAGGAUUCCCAGAUGGAUGCAGAUCUGCCAUGCACUCCACCACUGCCUGACAGCCUCACCCAGAAGUGCAUACACUGGGCCUAUCAAGACUGACAAAGCAGAGAUGGGUGGCUGAUACGGAAAAAUAAAACACAACAUGCUCACACUCUCUCUCUCUCUGUCACACACACUCACACACAUUAUCCCCAGUGUAAAUACGUUGUAAUUACUUGUUUAUUUUUUGUUUGCUCCAUUUUAUUUUAGGAUUGGAGAUAUCUACUCCUACAUAUCCAUCCUCAAUAUCUACAUCAUUACUCUAAAUAUCUAUCCAAGUGUGAUUGAUAAUAUUGUAAAAGACUAUUGCUUAAUGUGUACAGUUUGAAGAACUUCUGUGUGCUUUUUUCUGAGUUGAAAAACAUGCCUCCCUCUCACACACACAUUAGACCCAAUGUAAACACAUUGUUUCUUUUAUGGAUGUUCCAUUUUAAUUGAGGAUUGUGUGCAAUAAAGUACAUUCACAGUUAAA